AAAAAAAGAGUUGAACACAGGGACACAUUUGAAGUCUCGGAGCCGGGUGUUGGUUCCGGUAGCGAUCGAGGGAAAUUAGUACCGAAGUCCGGGAUGGAAGAUGGCGAGAAAAGCUGUGUAUAUUUCUGCGGUGCCCGUACCGCAAACCGACACAGGUAGGUAGGAAGAAGAUUCUAAGGCCAACGGGAGAAGGGUUGUUAAGGAACUCGGCAAAUUGACCCCGUAACUUCGGGAGAAGGGGUGCUCUAGAGAUAGAGCCGCAGAGAAUCGGCCCAAGCAACUGUUUACCAAAAACACAGGUUUGUGCUAAAUCGAAAGAUGACGUAUACGAGCUGACGCCUGCCCGGUGCUGGAAGGUUAAGAAGAGAUGUGCAAGCAUUGAAUCGAAGCCCCAGUGAACGGCGGCCGUAACAAUAACGGUCCUAAGGUAGCGAAAUUCCCUGUCAGGUAAGUUCUGACCCGCAUGAAAGGCGUAAUGAUUUGGGCACUGUCUCGACAGCCCGCCCGGCGAAAUUGUAGUACCGGUGAAGAUGCCGGUUACCCGCGACAAGACGGAAAGACCCCAUGGAGCCUUACUGUAGCCUAAUAUUGGGUUUCGAUGUUGCAUGCGCAGGAUAGAUGGGACACUGGGAAGCAAGUGCUUUGGCAUUUGUGGAGUGGCCGUUGGGAUACCAUCCUUGCGAUAUUGGAAUUCUAACCUGCGCCUUUGAAUCAAGGCGGGGGACAUUGUUAGGUGGGCAGUUUGACUGGGGCGGUCGCCUCCUAAAGAGUAACGGAGGCGUUCAAAGGUUCGCUCAGCUUGAACGGAAAUCAAGCAAAAGAGUGCAAACGCAGAAGCGAGCCUAACUGCGAGACUGACGGGUCGAGCAGUAACGAAAGAUGGAGUUAGUGACCCGGUGGUAUGUGAGUGGAAAUGCCAUCGCUCAACGGAUAAAAGUUACCCUGGGGAUAACAGGCUGAUCUCCCCCAAGAGUCCACAUCGACGGGGAGGUUUGGCACCUCGAUGUCGGCUCAUCGCAUCCUGGGGCUGUAUUCGGUCCCAAGGGUUUGGCUGUUCCCCAAUUAAAGCGGUACGCGAGCUGGGUUCAGAACGUCGUGAGACAGUUCGGUCCCUAUCUGUCGUGGGCGCAGGAUAUUUGAUGGGAGCUGUUCCUAGUACGAGAGGACCGGAGCGGACGUACCUCUGGCGCACCAGUUGUUCUGCCAAGGGCAUAGCUGGGCAACUAUGUACGGAUCGGAUAAACACUGAAAGCAUCUAAGCGUGAAGCCGACCCAAAGAUAAGAUAUCCCAUUGUUUCAAACAAGUAAGACCCCUUGAAGACUACAAGGUUGAUAGGCAUGAUGUGUAAGUGGAGUGAUCCAUUCAGCAAGUAUGUACUAAUAGGUCGAGGGCUUGACCG
rnacentral:rRNA from 1 species